rnacentral:tRNA from 1 species
AGGCCAGUAGCUCCAACUGGUAGAGCGACGGUCUCCAAAACCGCAGGUUGUAGGUUCGAAUCCUACCUGGCCUG